AGAGUUUGAUCAUGGCUCAGGAUGAACGUUGGCGGCGUGUCUUAGGCAUGCAAGUCGAGGGAAGCAAUGUAGCAAUACAUUGACUGACCGGCAGACGGAGUAUGACAGUGGUAAAUUACCUCGGAGUCUUGAACAACCCUGCGAAAGCGGGACUAAUACAAGAUGGUCAAGGGGGGGCAUAUGCUAUUCCCUUGUAAAGUUUUUUCGCUCCGAGAGAUGCCUUUGGCCUAUCAGCUAGUUGGUGAGGUAAUAGCUCACCAAGGCUAUGACGGGUAGCGGGUGUGAGAGCAUGACCCGCCUCAGUGGAACUGAAAUACUGUCCACACUCCUACGGGAGGCUGCAGUCGAGAAUUUUCCGCAAUGCACGAAAGUGUGACGGAGCGACGCCGCGUGCAGGAUGAAGGCCUUCGGGUUGUAAACUGCUUUUAUUAGGGAAAAACUAGCGAUGGUACCUAAUGAAUAAGAGGUUGCUAACUCUGUGCCAGCAGCAGCGGUAAUACAGAGACCUCAAACGUUAUCCGGAUUUAUUGGGCGUAAAGCGCUAAAAGGCGGUUUAGAAAGUUAGGUAUUAAAGCCUGGAGCUCAACUUCAGAUCUAUACUUAAAACUCCUAGACUAGAGGGUGGAAGAAGCAAGCGGAAUAGCUAGUGUAGCAGUAAAAUGCGUUAAUAUUAGCUAGAACACCGAUGGCGAAAGCAGCUUGCUAGUACAUACCUGACGCUAAAUAGCGAAAGCGUGGGGAGCGAAUGGGAUUAGAUACCCUAGUAGUCC
rnacentral:rRNA from 1 species